GGAUGCUAGUUUCACUGGGGCGGUGGCCUCCUAAAUAGUAACGGGGGUGAGCAAAAACUAUUAUUAAAGUAAUAUAAUUACUUUUUAAUAUUAAUAUAUAUAAAUAGUUUGAUUAAAAAAAAAAUAUUUUUUUUAAGAGCAAAUAUGCUAGUAUAAUGAUCCGAUAUAAUUUAUUAAAAUAUAUAUCGCUUAACAAAUAAAAGGUACGCUAGGGAUAACAGGCUAAUAAUUCUUAAGAGUUCCCAUCGAAAGAAUUGUUUGGCACCUCGAUGUCGGCUCACCAUAUCCUGGUUGUGAAUCUUCUUCCAAGGGUCGGUCUGUUCUACCGUUAAAAUGGUACGUGAGCUGGGUUUAGAACGUUGUGAAACAGUUUGGUCCCUAUCUGCUACAUUUUUAAUUUUUUUUAGAAUCCUGCUUUAGUACGAGAGGACUGAGAUGGACUAACCAAUGCUUAAUUGUUUAUUUUUUUAUAAGUAUGACAAAAAGGUAAGUUAGGGAACAAUAAUUACUGAAAUGUAUAAGUAAUAAGUGU
rnacentral:rRNA from 1 species